rnacentral:piRNA from 1 species
CUCUGGAUGAUGAAAGUUGCUCUGUGUUG